rnacentral:rRNA from 1 species
GCUUAAAAUCUAGCCCAUAAAUUUCGUAUGAAAUUACCUACUUUACACUAUUAAUCAAAACAUUUUAACAUUUUAGUAAAGGAGAUUAAAAAACUAACUGAAGCAAUAAAAAUAGUACCGCAAGGGAAAGAUGAAAUAAAAAUGAAAUAAAUCUAAAGCCCCAAAAAGUAGAGAUCUACCCUUGUACCUUUUGCAUCAUGGUUUAACUAGUCCAAUCAAGCAUAAAGCAUUAAAGUUUGACCCCCCGAAACUAAGCGAGCUACUUCGGGGCAGCUUUAUGAGCAAACCCGUCUCUGUUGCAAAAGAGUGGGAUGACCCCCAAGUAGCGGCGACAAACCUAACGAGCUUAGUGAUAGCUGGUUACUCAAGAAAAGGAUUUUAGUCCAACCUAAAGCUUUCCUUAUUUGUAAAAAUUUUUAUUAGGCUUUAGAGCAAUUCAAAUAAGGUACAGCCUAUUUGAAACAGGAUACAACCUCAACUGACGGGUAAAUAAUAGAUCUUAUUAAAAAUCAAGUGGGCCUAAAAGCAGCCACCUUUAAAAAAGCGUCAAAGCUUAAUUAAUUAAUUAAUUUAAUUCCUCUAACCUCCUCUAACCCUCUACCAAUAUUGAGUUAUUCUAUAUAGAUAUAGAACCAACUAUGUUAAAACUAGUAACAAGAAGAUUAACCUUCUCUUAGAUGCAUGCAUAGAUCAGAAAGGACAAGCCGCUGAUAAUUAACGCCUAUGAACCAGCAUUAGUAACCCCCCCCCCCCAAGAAAACACUAAUUAUUUAUUGCGUUAACCUGACACAAGAGCACCUCAAGAAAGAUCAAAGAAAAAGAAGGAACUCGGCAAAUUUUAACCCCGCCUGUUUACCAAAAACAUCGCCUCUUGCAUGAAAAUAAGAGGUCUAGCCUGCCCAGUGACCACAGUUCAACGGCCGCGGUAUCCUAACCGUGCGAAGGUAGCGUAAUCACUUGUUCUUUAAAUGAGGACUAGUAUGAAUGGCAUCACGAGGGUUAUACUGUCUCCUUUUUCUAAUCAGUAAAACUAUUCUCCCCGUGAAGAAACGGGGAUAAGUAUAUAAGACGAGAAGACCCUAUGGAGCUUUAAAUUUUAUUUCAAUUGCUCUUCCGUCUAAUCUGUUCCGACUUAUUAUCCCUAGCCGAGCAUAAUGUAAAUAAAUUUUAGGUUGGGGUGACCGCGGAGCACAAUAAAACCUCCGCAUAGGACAGGCCUAAGCCUUGAACAAAGAACCACAAUUCCAAGCACUAAUAUAUUAACAUCCAUUGACCCAAUAUUUUUGAUCAACGAACCAAGUUACCCUAGGGAUAACAGCGCAAUCUACUUUGAGAGCUCCUAUCGACAAGUAGGUUUACGACCUCGAUGUUGGAUCAGGGUAUCCCAGUGGUGCAGCCGCUACUAAAGGUUCGUUUGUUCAACGAUUAAAACCCU